CAGAACGAACGCUGGCGGCAUGCCUAACACAUGCAAGUCGAACGAGACCUUCGGGUCUAGUGGCGCACGGGUGCGUAACGCGUGGGAAUCUGCCCUGGGGUGCGGAAUAACUCGGAGAAAUCCGUGCUAAUACCGCAUAAUGUCUUCGGACCAAAGAUUUAUCGCCCUGGGAUGAGCCCGCGUAGGAUUAGCUAGUUGGUGGGGUAAAGGCCUACCAAGGCGACGAUCCUUAGCUGGUCUGAGAGGAUGAUCAGCCACACUGGGACUGAGACACGGCCCAGACUCCUACGGGAGGCAGCAGUGGGAAUAUUGGACAAUGGGCGAAAGCCUGAUCCAGCAAUGCCGCGUGAGUGAUGAAGGCCCUAGGGUUGUAAAGCUCUUUUACCCGGGAUGAUAAUGACAGUACCGGGAGAAUAAGCUCCGGCUAACUCCGUG
rnacentral:rRNA from 1 species